GAUCAUGGCUCAGGAUGAACGCUAGCUACAGGCUUAACACAUGCAAGUCGAGGGAAACGACAUCGAAAGCUUGCUUUUGGAUGGGCCGUCGACCGGCGCACGGGUGAGUAACGCGUAUCCAACCUGCCCACACUUGGGGAUAACCUUGCGAAAGUAAGACUAAUACCCAAUGAUAUCCCACGAAGGCAUCCGAAUGGGAUUAAAGAUUUAUCGGUGAUGGAUGGGGAUGCGUCUGAUUAGCUUGUUGGCGGGGUAACGGCCCACCAAGGCAACGAUCAGUAGGGGUUCUGAGAGGAAGGUCCCCCACAUUGGAACUGAGACACGGUCCAAACUCCUACGGGAGGCAGCAGUGAGGAAUAUUGGUCAAUGGGCGAGAGCCUGAACCAGCCAAGUAGCGUGCAGGAUGACGGCCCUAUGGGUUGUAAACUGCUUUUAUAAGGGAAUAAAGUGGGUCACGUGUGACUUUUUGCAUGUACCUUAUGAAUAAGGACCGGCUAAUUCCGUG
rnacentral:rRNA from 1 species